CACCUAAGCGACAUUAAUUUUAUUAAUUUUUUAUAUGGGAUGUUCGAGUUUAUACACUAUAAAUUGAUCAAAUAUUAUUUUAUCUAUCUCAUAAAAAAGAGAAAAAGAAAAUGGCUUCAAUUCUCAAGUUGUACGUUGUGUUUAUAUUCCUUUUUUUCUUUGUUGCAUCAAAUGUUGAUGGUGAGCCAUUUUCUUCUUCAAAUUUCAUUUUAAUUUUUUAUUUCUUUUUUCGUUUAUAGAAAAUAUUUUAUCUCAUUUUAACAAUAUAAAUUAUUAUUUUAUUAUAGGUCAGGCUUGUAUACACGAUCGCCAAUGUAGAUGCACUCAACAUACAGUAAGCAAGUGUAUCAAUGGUUUCUGUAAAUGUUAUACCUAUAGUGAUAUCCGUCUUAAAUUAAUGAAUAAGUAUUAGGUGAACAUGGUUAUCUAUUUCAAAUAUUUAAAUAAAAUCUAUGUAAUGUUAUAUUUCAAGACAAUAAAUAAUAAAUAUUAUAAACAUGGUUAUCUAUUUUAUUUUAAUAGAUCAAGUAUCUAUGUGACCUCUAUUUUAUGCCAAUGACAUUAUAUAUUUAGUAUGUUGAUCCGUGUGAUGUAUGCUGAAUACAAAUAAUAUUGAAGAAUAUAAAUAGUAUUUAAUAUAAAUAUUUUGAUGUGAAUUUUGUUUUCUCAUCUUGAUUUGAAAACUGUGAUAGGUCUCUUAUCUUUUGGUUGUGUAUUUCUUGAAUCUAUUUGGAUGUUGUAGUAUUUUGCGGCUCAAGUCUUUAUAUAUAAUAUUCUACUUGUUUUUAAGAAAAUAAUAAAAUAAUUAUUUUAAUAAAUUCAGUUAAAAUUAUUUAAAGUGUUGAAAAUGUCGAUAGACAACAUAAAUAUCUUGCAACCUCAAUUUUAUUUUAAAUAGAUAUAUGUUUAUGCAAUAUAAAAUAUAUUGAGACCACCAAAACUCUACUUAAUUGAAAAGAAUAUAUUGUUAAAUAAAAUUUUACAUCAUACAAAAGAAUAACAAAUUUAUAAUAUUCAAUUGUUAAACUACUAAGCUAUGAAUGUAUUAUUGCAAUUCAAAAAUAAAUAAAUAAGUAACUGAGAGAGUAUUACAAAUAAAGUGGUCCUAACACUCAUUUUCAUUAAUUUAUAAAGGAAAAUUUUAACAAGUGCCUGAAAUACUCGUCAAGACUUUAAAUAUAUAUGUUUUAUUUAAAAAUAGUUAUAUUCAAUAUAUUAAAAUUUAAAACAAUUUAUUCUUUUAAAAAAUAAAAUGAGAUUAAUUGUUAUGCACUGACAGUGUAAAUUUUUUUACACUUUCAAUACAUCACAAUCAUCCAUUUGUGUUAUUUUUAUAUGUGAUUAUAAUAAAAGUCAAACUUUUUUAACAAAUCAAUGGUUAUAAUUAAUUGAUAGUGUAAAAUAUUUUUAUAAUGUUGUUGUAUUUCAAUUAAAUCCUAAUAAAAAAUAUAUUUUUUUUUAAGAUUUGUAUUCAACAUAAUAUUUUAUUUAUUUAAAAUUUUUAAGAGUGUUCUGGAUCACUAUAACCCUAAUAUAAAACCAUACUAUAAAUUUGCACAACCGUGCAGUGUUGUAGUUAACACACACUCUUAAAUUAAAUUCGAUCAUAAUAACAAUGGAUAGCUGUAACAAAAAAAAUUUAAAAUAGUAAAAUAAAAGAAACUACCAAUUAUAUUGUUGGAACUUAAAUUAAAUUGCACUAACUAAUUUUUUGUUUUUGAAGAGUGGAGGCAUGUAUGUGGAUAACUCUUACAGAAUUCAAUUACAUGUUCUAAAUAACGGUUUUUGUUUUUGUUUAAAGAAUAAAGUGAGAGGGGCGUUCAGAGGAAACAUUUACAAAGAAGUCACACACUUAAAAAAAUAGAUAAAAGAUAAAUUUAUAGUUACUAAAAUGGUCAAUAAUAUGACAUUAUAUAAAUAUAAACAUAUAUAAAAUAAGAAAAAAUUGUGCUCAAAACGGCUGGCUUGGUUAUGAGUCUCCGUCAUUUGGCCAUUCACAAUAGAAUAUGCAUGCUAGUAGGGUUUUUGAAAUUAAUGAAAGGUGUAAAACAACCUGGAUAUUUUUCUAAGAUAAUUUUGGAUUAAGAUAAGAUCAAACAGUACAAAUCAAUUUUUUCAAUAAAAACAAAUAAAACUAAAAUUGAUUAAUAAUUUGUCUCUAUUUAUUUUUUAUGAUUGUUUUGAUAAAAAAAACCAAAAUAGAAUAAUAAAAAAUAGAGCGCAAAAAUGCUCGAAAAAAAAACGAAUGCACCAAAUUGAUCAGCACAAAAUAAACCUCUCAGAAACAUACAUGUUUCGAUCAAAUUUUGAAAUAAAAACUAACGGGUUAAAAGGCUCAUAUUGUUCUAAUUUCGACUGAAAAAGUAGCUGAAAAAAUAAAAAUGAGCAUACAGGGUUAAACUACUCGAACCGUAGAUCAAGAAAAUUGACGUCUGUAAGCUCGAUUUUGGAAUUUUUCACACGUUAACUUCACGUGCAUUUGAGAAUCAGUUUGACCGGUCCGUAUAUAGAUCCAAAAUUUUAUUUUGGAUAAUAUUUUAGGCAUUGUGCCGGAUGAAAUGCAUGUUAUGUUAGGUAGAUGAUGUGAAUGUCUUGAUGCAUGCAUCUAUUUAUUGAAUGAGGGGGGAAAUUGGGGUGUGACAGUUACCCCUAUUUAGGUAUCUUCAACCAGAGAAUAUGAAGAAUGUUAAUCUUCAUAUGAUUGCGGUGGGAGAUAGUUAAAUACUAAAGAGACCUAAACUUUGUCCCUGGAUGCUGAUGAAAUGAAAUGUUAUGAAUGCAUGAAGGACUCAUUUUAGGUUUUAAUUUGCUGGGGAUAUGGUAUGAAAUGAACCUGAGCAUGGUUUUUAUGAUGGAUGAUAAGUAGAGUGGACAUGUGGGGAAUUAUGGAAAAAUGUGUAACGGUGAUCCAUAAGAAACGAUAAAGACAACGAGGGGCAAGACUCACUAGGGAUAACAAAUUGUAGGGGAAAAGAAAUGAUAGAAUGCUAGACGGUGCUGAACUUUUAGAAUGAAAUGCAAGACGAGACUAGAUUUGACCAGAAGGAAUCAUUAAAAUAUAUACCGGCUUCAAACAGAGUUUGCUAGACAAAAUUGGACUUUGAGGUAAGGGGGUAUAAGAUCAACCAAAGAGGGCGGGGUCAAUGCAAAAUGAGUUCGAAUUACACUUAGAUUAUGCAUGAUUUGAAUUUACUUUUAUGCAUGAUAUAUGAAUGAUCAUGGUAUGAAAAUGAAGACAUUCAUGAAAUGAGACUUGGCGAGAUGCCUUUAUUGGUGAAUGGAAAUGCAAGGUGAAGUCACUAGGGAGAUAAGUGAUCAAUUACUAUGACUAAUUGCAUGUUCUUCAAGAAUAAUCUUCUAAAGAAGUUCCACUUGGGAAGACUACUACCGAGGUUUCUUUGGAAAGAUUCAAAAUGAAAUCACUAAGGAGUCUACUACCGAGACUCACUAGAGAUACCUAGUGCCAAGGUUUUAUUGAGAAAAUACCUACUGCUGAGGUAUAAUGGAAUAUCUUCUCCCGAGAUCAACCAGAAAACCUACUGUAGAGAUUCACUUUGAGAGAGAUAUACCUACUAUCAAGGUCUACUGGUAAAUCACAUACUGAGAUCAAUCAGGGAAUGUACUAUCGAGAUUCUGUGGGGAACACCUUCUGCUGAGGCCUAUUGGGAAAUAUUUUGUCAAGAUUAGCCAGGGAAUCUACUAUUAAUAAUCACUUUGAGAGAGAUAUACCUACUAUCAAGGUCUAUUGGGAAAUCUUCUAUCGAGAUCAACCAGGGAAUCUACUGUCGAGAUUCACUCUGAUAGAGAAAUACCUACUAUCGAGGUCUACUAGGAAAUCUUCUGUUGAGAUUAGCCAUGGAAGCUUCUGCCGAUAUUCUGUAAGGAAACACUUUAUGUCGAGGCCUAUUGGGAAAUAUUCUCCCGAGAUUAGUCAGGGAAUCUUCUGCCGAGAUUUUAAUGAGGAAAACACCUUCUGCCGAGGUCUACUGAGAAUCUUUUGCUGAGAUUAUCUAGGGAAUCUUCUGCCGAGAUUUUGCUGACAAGCGCAAAGUAGUUGAUUGUAGUAAUAACGACUAUAUUCAUAUGUGGAUGAUACAUGGUUCAUGUUAUGCUUAUGACUAAAUUUUUCAUUUUGAUUGAUGCAUGUAAUGUUAUGGUUACUCAGUGUAGUGCCCCAUAAUAGUGGGAAUACCACAUAUGAAAUGUAACGACUGAUCAAUGCAUGUAUACGUGCUAAUAAGAAUUGGAAUUUGAGAGGUGCCAAGCAAGGUUGGAAUUUUAUUGCAGAUGCUUGAUUUUCAAGGGUACAUGUUGUGGGAAUAUGCCAGAUGAAUGUGAUGGAUUUCCUAACAUUACGCUAGAGUGAUGCAACAUAAUUACUGCAUGCGAAUGAUUUAUGCAAUGACUUUAAGGUUUCCAACUAAGCCCUUGUGGUGGGUAAUGGAUGAAAGAAUUCAUUUGCGACAGAGUUUCUUGUUGAGGGAAAAUUAAUUUUGAUGGAAGGUAAUUUCCAGCAUGAUUUCCCAAAACCCGUUUCGAACUUAACUUUUGCUGACACAAUGUAGGAUUUUGGCUUGAGCAACUUGAAAGUCCGGGGAGAACUUUCCCCUGUGAUAGCUCUCUCUUUCCCCCGUUUGUUGGGUCUUUGAAGAGAUUUUCCUUGAAAUGUGUUUAGAAGCAGCUUGCCAUAACCUUGAGGUGGCUUACCCUAAAGUUUGAAUCUUGCAGUGGUUGUUGACUAACCGAACCUUGGAGUGGUAGACUUCUAAUUAAUCGACCUUUUGACUCAUUGAGCUCUUUAGGUGGCUUGCCCCUGUCUGAGACUUGCAGGUAUUUGUUCUUUAACUAAAUGACUUUUGGGGUGAUCGGCUCGAAUUGACCAUCCCCCCCCCCACCCGUGAUUUCCCCCUAAAUGGACUUUAUUCACAUGAUCAAGCUCCUCAACUGAUUGCGCAUUAUUGUGAUUUCUUUUAUGAAUUGACCAUCCCCCCCCCCACCCGUGAUUUCCCCCUAAAUGGACUUUAUUCACAUGAUCAAGCUCCUCAACUGAUUGCGCAUUAUUGUGAUUUCUUUUAUGCUAAAUGCCGACUUACAGAUAAAAUUGUCCAUUCAAAAUGAUAAUUUUAAUGCAGUGCUUACGCAAAAGUUUGAAAUUAAAAUUUAUUGAUAUGAACGGGUGAAAUAUAGUGAAUGGGUCACUAAUCAGAACACACUACUGAUCUAGCCAUUCAUAGUUGGCAAGGUGGUGUGAUCAACACAAAUUAUUAACAAAGAUUGUUUAGAGUCAGGUUAACGCAACCUUGUUGUAGUAUGCUUUCAAAAUAAACACUGCCUCAGUUAGGUCUUUUAAGGGUUGUAACGUGGUUUGAUUCAAGGUUUUUUUUAACAAAAGGAUAUGAGGCUCAAAAAUUAAUUUUAACCCACCCCUUAUUCUUGAUAAUCUUCAGUCCUACGUGUUGUACCUCAAAAUUUUCCCUCCCCUUUUCAUCUUUUCAUUCAACCCUAACUUAAGAAUCAGUUGCAUACCUUCAUGCUUCAUUCAUAUGCAUCAAUCAUUCAUUCAUAUAUAUAGGUUUUAUCUCUUUGAAGCUUGAAUAUGACAAAGUUCCAUUAUGGUAUUCUUCAAGGGAUUCAAACCCUAGUUAUGGGCCCUUGGUAGGGAUGUUGCUUAAGGAGCUUGAUGUUUGGUUUGAAACCCCAAUCCUUGAUCUUAGAGUUGGUAAACCUUAUGGUUUGUUUCAAAGGGUUGGAAACCCUAAGUUGGUUCAUGGCACUGAUAGAUUGUUUGGUUUGAGACUCUUGGUUAUUACUUGGAACUUUGAUCUUUGACCUAGAUAAACCCUAGUUCAUAGCUUGCCAUGUGAUUGGUCUAUAGUAUGCUUGCAUUGAUUGCAUGUUCUCAUGGUCCCUUCAGAAUCGAAGUCUCAUUGCAUUCACAUAUCAUCCAUUGGUCAUGAUUUGAUCUAAGGUUCAUUCCAUGUGUUAAAGUUCAAGCUUUUUGGUCCCAUUGAUUCAAGAUAUCAUUGUCUAUUUGGUCAAGGCAUUUGAUUGGUCCAUUAGCUUCCUUUCCAUUCACCCAUUCAAAUCUGUUUUAGAAUUCAUCUAAGGCAUUUGUUCAUAUUGAAUUUGAUCAAUGAGCGUUUGAAUUCACAUUUUUGCAUUGUUUCAUUAGAACAUUUUUAUCAAAUAAAAUACAUUUUAUUCAUAAGAUUCAUUGAUUACAUUACACAUUACAUUAAAAAGAUUACACAAAAUUACAUUUUUUGCAUAAGUCUACUUUUGGUCAACUGUUGGGUUUUUGGUCAACCAAUGGACCAAAGUCAACUCACCUACUUUUCAUGACCUAAACCCCUAAUACUCAUUGCAUCUUCACUCUUGCAUAAGAUUUCAUGGCCAUAUGCUUCAUGAGCAGGAAACCUUAUUUUUUGCAUCCAAUUUAUGCCUUGAUAUUUGACAUGCCUUAAACACCUUGAAUUGCUUUGAAACCAUAAUCCAGCUAUCCAAUGUCACAAGUCUAGAGCCCUACAUUCAACUCUAUUCAUUAGCAUCUCCAAACAUAUAAAAUCAUGUCCAUACAAUUCAAACAAAGGACCUAGUUAUCAUGGAAGUUGUCACAACCAAUGCACAUGAAAGAAUCAUACAUCAAGAAUUCACAUAGUAGUAGCAGAUCCUAAGUUAACAGGUUGAACCACUAAUAAACUCACCAUAUGCUAACCAUAUCCUAUUAACAGAUUUUCCAAUUGACAUGGAAAGCCAACUAACCAAAUGCCAUAUCAGAACCGAAAACUUGCAAAUGAGAUGAAAUAAACUUCAAAAGAUUGCAACCAACCCAUAACAAAAAUCAAUUCAGAACCUUCCAAUUCCUAAAAAACUGUCAUAAGAGAAUAACAAAAUGAUCAUUCCAACUCUAACAACCUCCACAACUCUCAUUAUCAUAACCACCCCUAACUGAAUUCUUCAAUGAACUCUCCUAAUUCCACUCUUCAAUCAACUUCCUAACCAUUCUUCACUCUUCGUCACCAACGACAUUCCGCAUGCUUCGUCUGAAUUCCACAACAUCUUUAUCUUCAUCUCAAUCAACAACGCAGGAACGAGAAUCUUCAUUUUGUAUCUAAAAUAUAACUCACGAACAUGAAUCUUCAUUCUGUAUCUCAAACACAACUCAUGAACGCGAACCUUCAUCUUCAUCUCAAUCAACAAUGAACAGAAGAGUGCAUCGGAUGUUGAGGUGAGCUUUUCAUUGAGUCACGGAUGCCACUGAGCGAGCUUCCUUUUCUGGCGCCGUGAAGGAGUUCCUCUGUGUUUUUUGACCUGAGCAUAUUUGUUUUGAAUGAGCCUUAAGAGUUUUUUGGGGUACAUUGAUGAGACCAGGGCCGGUGUUGAGAAAAUUGGUCUUUUUUUCCCAAGAAUUCCAUGGCCCAAGCAUUUUCUGCAUACACCUCACUCUAUCAAUUCACCCCAUGGCCCACGUUGAUGUUUAAGCCCUAAUCUUUCUUUCUUAAUCUUAAUUAAUUUAUUGUUAAUUCUAGUUUUUUAUUGAUUCUGUUUUGUUAAUCUUGAUAGAAAUUAUGAUUAAUGCUUAGUUUUAGAAAUAUUAGGAAUUAGUAUCUUGUUGUUAAUUAGGGAUUAAUAUGGUUUUAUUGGUCAAUUAGUAGAACUUUGAUUAUAUGAUUAGAAAAUAGGUUUAACCAUGUGGAUCUUGAUCUCUUAUCUUUAGAUUAAUCUCAUAAUAGGUUAACCUUUUCAUGAUUAGGAUAUUUUGAUCAUUAGACUUUGAUGUUUCAUUUUGUGGAUUUUGUUCCUAAUUUGAAUAAUAUGGUUAAGCGUAGAUUUUCCCAUAAUUCGUUUUUAGGUUAACUUUGCUAUGAUUGGAUUGUGAGUGCCCAUUAGGUUUGUUAAUUCAUUUUGUGAAUGAUGAUUGUUUUACCCCUAGGAUUUAGAAUAGCUUAACUUGCAUGCUCUCUUAGUUUAGGACUUGUAGAAAUAUUCAAAUUGUUGAUUAACCCUUUAGGUUGUUGUGUAUUCAUUUCCAACUAAUUUUUUUCCUAAUUGGUUCAGUUUAUCAAAGUUCACUUUGAUCGAUUAAAUCCUUUGAUUGUGCUCAAUUCUCCAAGACUAUUCAAGUGAUCAAAAGACCCUUGAUCACUUGAUAGGGCAAGUCAUGUGUUCAAAGCUGUACUGGAUACUGAAUCUCAAGACUUCAAGACCUCAAGAUUCAAAGGUCAAGAUUCGAGACUUCAUAUAAUUCAAAUCAGUACAAGACAGACUGAACUACUAUAAGGCGCAUAAAAGGUGGUUCUUCAAGAGCUUGUUAAUCAAGUUUAAAAUUGAGUGGCAUGAGCCCUAAGUAAUAGAGAAGGGAUGAGAGUGGAGAAUUCCUAUCCUCACUCUGAAUAUCUUUAGGUACGAGACGAAUGACCAUGUUGCUCAUCGUAUUCACCUCUAUUCAUAGAAUUUAGCAUAAUUAAAAUCAUAUGAUUCUCAAGUCUCUCUCCAGCAAACAACAUCAACGUAGGGAGCAACAAAGAUUCUUCUCCAACAACUUGAAAGUUACGAUAAUAAUCAUAUGCCAGGAGCCUUAAGUAGUAAAGAAUAAAUGAGAGUGGAGAAUUCAUAUCCUCAUUCUGAAUAUCUUUGGGUACGAGACGAAUGACCCAGUUGCUCAUCGUAUUCACCUUUACUUAUAGACUUUAGUGUGAUUCAUAUCAAAUGACUGUCAAGUCAUCUUCAUCUCCCUUUGUUUUUGUGGUUCCACGAACUACGAAAGCUCUGACUUUCUUAUUGCACGGGGAGAAUAUGUAGGCAUGAAAAUUCAGAUUCUCUGCGAGCUACCUUAUUUAUUGAUCCUACCAUAUUCAAUGAUUCUUAAUUCUUAAUCAAUCAAUACCAUCUCUUUGAGAUCACAUACAUUUUUCCUUGGAUUCCAUAAUCAAUGUCUUCCUUUGAACUAAGAGAUGUUUGCCUUGAUGUCAAACACUUAAUUCUCUUUGUUUCUGGUUAUGACAAGAGUGGGUACGCCUAGUUUCCUCCACAUCUUAGUCUAUACCUCUUUUACUCUUCAGUUUAGGGUUUACUCCUUCAUGGAUCUAAGAUACCGUUUCUUCUUUGAUCUCAAAUUGUUUGUUCCCAAGCAAGUGAUAUUUUUUCCUGUAUCCAAACAACACUUUCUUGUGGGUCCCAUACCCAUCCUUUUAAGACAUUUGUACAUCUUGUGAACCAAGAGAUGCUUGCAUUAAUGCCAAACACAUAAUUCAUUAUUUUUGGUAAGACAAUACAGUGGGUAUGCCUCUGUCCCUCCAUAUCUUAGUUUGUACCUUUUUACUCUUGGGUUCAAAGCCAGUUUGUCAUUAUGGGUUCCCAUGUUACCAUUCUAUUGGUACAAUUAUAUUGUUCAUCACUUUAAUCAGACCCUUGAAGUUGUUUGUCUUGUUAGUCCUAGUUGCUUAGGCAAACACUUCCUAAUUUCCCUUUCUUUCCGUGGUUCCAUGAACUAAGAAUGCUCUGACUUUCUCAUUGCAUAGUGAGAAUACGUAGGCACGAGAAUGCAAAUCAUAGGCGAGUAUAAUCCUACUUAUUCUUUCUGCCUUAGGGCACCAUUCAUAUCUUUCAUGAUUCAUUACCGACCUUCAAUCAUUAAACCGCUCACCCCAGUGAUACACUACUUCUUUGAAACCAGAUCCAAUUUUCCUUGGAAUUCCAUACACCCUUUUAGGACGAUAUAACGACAGUCCACAUUUGUACCUAGAGUUGUUUGGCUCGUACCCAAACAUUUUAUUCCUUAUUUUUUUGGCCAAUAAGCAUGUUUCCCUCUAUGGUAAACAUUUCUUUUCUCCUAUGGAUUCCAAUAUAACCCUACCUUUAGUUCCAAAUUACACCUCUUCAUUCACUGUUACCAGAUCAUUCACUUAUGUGACUUUGGUCAUGUCAUUUUGUUCAUCUCCGUGAUGUAUUUCACAUUCUACCUUCGUUCACUCCAGGUGAUAUACUAUUAUCUUUGAGCCAAAUUCCUUAUCCCUUUGAGCUUCAUCUUGUGUCACCUUGUGAACCAAGAGUUGUUUGGCUCGUACCCAAACACCUAAUUCUCCUUAUUUUCGGCUAUAUCAUAUAGUGGCAGACGCUUUCGGCUAGUCCACAUAUUGGUCAACACCGGUUUUACUCUUGGGUUCAGACUUCUUUCCUUGUUGGAGUUCAAAUCAUAUUAUCAUUUGGUUUAGACCAUACUUGUUAUCACAACUUCUUUUUACAUCCCAACAUUAGUUCUAUGAACUACGGAGCCUGAAUUCCUUAUUACACUAUAAGGAUGCGUAGGCAUGAAGGUCAUAAUCCUCACCGAGCACUUUAUCUAUUCCAUUCUUUGUUCCCUCAUUCUUUUAUGAGUAAUCUUUAGAUAUAACACCUAUUCGAGUAAGAAUGAUCAAAAUGGUUCCCAUGGAGUACCAUGGAUGUUAGGGGUGCUAAUAUCUUCCCCUUGCCUAACCGACUUCCUUACCCAGUAUAUCUCUUUUUCCCGGGUUUUAUCGAUGUUUUCCUUUUUCCUUUAGGAAUAAAUAAAGUUUGAUGGCAACUCGGUUGUAUGUUUGAGCGUGCGAUACAUUCAAGUAUAUUUCCGCUAGCUUCACUACAUUCAAAUGAAUUGACACAUGCAUUCAACUUUUAAGAGGGUUGGAAGGUGUAAGGGUGAAGAUGAGGAUUCAAGAUGAGAUUUUCUUGAAAUGACAGUCACCUUAUUUGUUUUUAGGUUUUUGUUGAGGAUUUUUCAUGACCUCUUUUGAUUGAUUUUUUAUCCCUAAUUUUUCCUGGACCACUUCUUUAAAGCUCUCGAUCCACCGGGAUGCCCUGAUUUUUUCCUAAGUCGUCUUUUGUGGUGUCUGACUUAGCGGGCUUUUCUCUUCAUGUUUUUUGAUUUUACUGAAACAUUGUGACUGUCAUGUUAUUGGUUAUUGAGGAAAAACCACUACAAACGUUUUGGCUUUUAUCAACUCCUUCAACACUUUAAGUGCGUGCGAAGGAUAUCAUGUGGUUGAACCUCUUUGGAGGAUGUGUAGAGAUGGACAGAUUCUCUUCAAGGUUGAAUGCAUAGUCAAACUAUCUGAACAUAACUACCUUGCCUCUGGUUAAGAUUAAGGGUUUUCAAAUCCGAAAGAAAUACAAAUUCUAGUCUCAAAGUGGUUGACUAAGGAUUAACUCCUUAACUCUUUGGUAUUUAGAGAUUUGAAAGAAUUCCUUACAUCAUCAGCAAAGUUUUCUUUGAAAGCACGCCAAAACAACUAUGGGUAAUUCGUUUUCAUUAUCCUCCUCAAAUCUUUGUUAAAACAAUAAUUUGAUAAAGAAAAAGAAUAUGAGGAAUAUUUUUUGUUUUUGAUAUAAAUGAAGGAAUAAAAAGGCAAGAGUGAAUACAAAUGGAUUAAUUCAAAAUGCAUGAUUACUUUAUUAAUAUUACCAUUAAAAGAAAACAACAAUGCUUAAAAGCAAACAAGUUUUAACAUGCAAAGAAAUUAUAAAUGAAAUGCUAGAAAUAGCCAAAUGAUUGUCAGUGUUGAGGAUGAUUUUUUCGUCUUGAUUUGCUGACCUUGGGAAGUUCCUCUUGAAGUCUUCGAACUCAUUGGGGCAAGGGAUUAUUCACCACAUUAGGGCCAUCAAAGUCAGUUGCCCUUUGUUGAUCAUAUCUUACACUUCUUCUUGGAAGACCAUACAUUAUUCGAUUGAGUACCCCACUACUCCAUCAUGAAACUCACAUUUAACAUAUAAGUUAUACCAAGGACGAAAUGGUAACUUCAUGGACCUGGUUUCUCUAGGAGUUAUCAAUGAGCAUUGAACCAGCUGAGACCAUAAUUGACUAUAGUUCAUUUGGAUAGGGUCAAUAUUGAGAGUCUCUCUUUCUUGCCGAUUUGGAGGUAUGAGUUGAUUUUGACGCCAAUGUUGAUUGUUUGGAUUUUGAGCCCGAUGAUCCUAACAUUGACGCUAACACGGAACCUGAGCUGCCUGAUUUAGCGGACCUUGCCACGGUUGCUGGUGCUGAGGACCGAGAGUAAUGGUUGUUGGUAUUGAAUAGCUGCUGCAUAUAGAUGCUGAUAAUAAGGCAUCGAAGAUAGAGUUUGUGGAUACUGGUGAGUUCCGAGGUUGAAUUAGUUUUAUCCUCAUCUUCCUCUUGGGAAUCACGAAGGGAUUCACUUUCAAUAGUCUGCACACUUGAGACACCUGGGAGUCUCUUGCUUUUGAGGCCGCCCUCGAUGUGUUCUCUAACAUUCACCAGGUUAGAGAAGCUUAGUGAUGCACUGCCUACCAUUCUUUCAAAGUAUGGGCUCUGUAAGGUAUCCAUAAACAUAUCCACCAAUUCUUUCUCUGAGAGAGGUAGUUGAACGCGAGCAGAAAACUCUCUCCAUAUUUGGACGUACUCUUUGAAUGACUCAUUACUCUUAUUAGAUAUAUAUUUUAAUUGAAAGAGAUUGGGAGCCAUGUCCAAAUUAUAUUGGUACUGCUUCAAAAAAGCGUUAGCUAGGUCCGACCAUGACUGGACAUGGCUUAUUUAUAAUUCCAUGUACCAAUUCAAUGAUACCCUACUCAAACAGUCUUGAAAACAGUGAAUCAUUAGCUAAUUAUCGAUGGCAUAGGAGGUCAUUUUUCGACAGAACAUCACCAAAUGGUGCUUUGGGCAGUUAUCCCCUUUGUAGUUUUGAAAGUCAUGGGUACUUUAAAUUUCGGGGUUAUAACCAAGCUAGGCACUAAACACAUGUUCAAAGCAUCGAGAUCAAAAGCAUCAUGCCCUUCUAUAUCUUUAAGUAUUUCCUCCCACACGCGGUACUUUUCAAUGAUCUCAAUAACCUCUGUUCUCUUUGUCUUCCUCACUAGGAUUUCCCCUUGGGAAUUUGGCUCAGCAAAUGUAAAACUAUGAUACGUAAUACCAUCAUGAGGUGAGGAAUAUCCAUCUCGGAUAAUGGGAUAUUCUUGAAUAGAAAAGGCCUUAACUAGGAUAUGUACAUGUUGAGGUUGAGCUUGAUCAUUCACUUGAGGUGGAAUGACAUUUUUAGUGAUGGUAGUCCGUUGAAUAUUGUCAUAUUUGUUUGCCAAACCUAUCAUAGCCUCCAUGAGUUGGUUCAACUUGUUUUUCAUCAGUUCAACAUCUUCUCUUAACACAGUAUAUUUUUGGUAUCCCGAGUCCAUGAUCCUUUAUGAUUUACUUUAAGUCUGAUAUGGGUGUCAGGAAAUUAAUUGUGGGUUAUAGGCAAGGAAUGGAUGAGUUUUUUUUUUUUUUUGCAUUUUGGACUAACAUUCAAUGCAUGAUAACAAAUGCAAACGAAAUGGUAUGUGAAUGGAUGAAAUUCAUUUUUUGGUUUUUUGGUAUGUAAAGAAAAUUAAAUGUAAGUAUAGUUAAGACUUGGGAUAACAUGAGUAACUCAGAACACCCUAUUUGGCAGGUUUCUUAACUGAUAGUUCUAGGCUUUCUACCCACAAACCGCUCACAAGAUAGUUUCUAGGUUUUGGAUAAGGUUCCCAAAGUCACGGGCUCUAAUUGUAUCAACAUCAUGAAAUAGGCUAGCCGAUUUAUGAUAAGAGUGACAAAAUGUCUAUUCUGAGAGGGAUUUUCAUGUUAGGCGUGCAAGGAGUGGCCCUUGGAGACUAACAUUACGUAUCCACCAAAGUAGAAACUAGUUCUAAGAGGGGUCCUAGAACCAUGAACCCUUCAUGAAUCAACAUUAUGUAACAGGAUAAUUGUCUUAUAACGAGAUCUAUGAAUAGGUCUACUCUAGGCGGAGUCUUCAUUCUAGGAACACAAGGAGAGGCCCUUGGGGAUUAACACUACACAACUUCCAAUCCUAAACUUAUGUGUUCUCUCUUAUUUUUCCAAAGCUCGGGUGUAGAGAUUUACUCAUGAUAUCAUCCCAAAUCCCAAAAAUAAAUAAGAUGAUAAACAUAUAGAAAUGAAGAGAGCAAACAUGGAGAAAAAAAAAGAAAACCCAACUUUCAUCACAAAGUUAUCUAAAUUAGGCUUGACUCUCUCUUGCAUGGAGCAUUCUCUCCCGAGUAGAGUCGUUAUUUGUCGUACCUCGAAAAAUAUGAUCUUGCGAAAAGCGUAUUGCACGCUCAUGAAAAAAAUCAAACAAAGUCGCCGCCGAACUUUAUUUAUUCCAAUGAAGGAUUAGGAAAAUAUCGAUAAAACCUUUGAAAAGAACAUGGUCGUCGCAACCAUAUUUGGGUUUGGGAUUCGAUUAUGCAAGGGGAAGGUAUUAGCACCCCUCACGUCCGUUGUACUCAACGAGAAACUUUUAGUUUAACUUGCGAUUGAAUGUCAUCUAAUGUUAUUUGUUUUUUUUGAAUUAUUAAAAGUGUAAAGAGAAAAAGAAAAAGCUUCACAACAAGUUUUUUUAUUAUUGUGCCUAACAAAAUUGUGGGUCUUGCUCCUAUGUAUCUCCGGGUGCGAUGGAGAACUCAAGGCAUAAGUAGUUAUGGGUAGAAAAAAUUUGUUUAUUGGUCGAUUUUAACAAAAGCUACUUUGUAUUAAUCGACAUAAAAUAAUGUUUAACCCAAAAUAGGUUAGGAGCAUGUGUUUUCAUCACAUUGAAUGAAUUUAUACAUAUCAACAUUCACGAGAAAACAUCAUUUAUCUCAACUCAAUGAUUAUGGAUGAAGCAUUUCUUUGAAUCACAUUAGGACAAAAUGUCUUUCAUUUUAGAAAAUGUUUUUAAGAUUAAUCACACGGCAGCGAGAAAAGAGUUUGAUUGGUUGGAUGUAUUUUAUAGGUGAAUGAUGAAUGCUCGAUGAGAACGUGAUAUAAGCCUCAGGAUCAAUCAUUUGGGGUUCCACCAGAAUGCUAGAUUCCAACAAUCCAUUUUCAUUCAAGGUUAAUUAACAAAAUUGUUUGAUGGACAAUGAACGCUCGAUAAGAAUAAGACACAUGUCUCGGAACCAAUUGUUCAAAGAGUUAUGCCAGAAUGCUAGAUCCUAACGACCAUUUUUUGUCCAAGUUAAUAAGUGUUUUGAGAGUGAAAUAAAAAAAUGAAUGGUUAACCCAAAAUGCGUGGCUCGGUACCAAUCAUUCAGGUUUAUGCUGGAAUACUAGAUUCCAAUAGUCCUUUUCUUCCGUGUUUGUUUAUUGUGUUUGAUUUGGUUUUGAAAUUGGUUGGAAGUUAGUUGAAAAUGGUUUUGAAAAUAGUUUGAGUUUAGUUGAAAACUAUCUCGAUAUUGAUCAAGAGUUCAUUAUCAGAAGGCCUAAGAGUAAGCCAUGAGACUAAACACCAACUGAAAUAAAAAGAAACUGAAUUUAUCUCUAAGCGAACUCUGGGUGGAUUCAUGUAAUAAUCACUCUUAUAAGAGGCUGAGAAACCGAAUAUAUGCAUCCAAACAGUUCUCGAAAGUUAAAUAGGAUUUAACUCUGAAAUCGCAAUGCAAUAAAAUACAACAGCAACCAAAAUAUUUUACAUCGCCAUAUGAACAUGGAUAGAGAUAACCUAAUUAAAUCAACCAAGCACAUGAAAGAUCAAUUGAAAAAUUUGUCAAGUAAUUUACUUACAAAAACAAAUAAUUAUUUAAAGCUUAGUCAAAUAAUCAAGUCAAAAUGAAUAAGCAUUUAAUUAAUUAAAGUAAUCAACUAAUCAAUUAACAAAAUAAUCAACUAAUUAACUACUUAUUUAAAUAAUACAAUGUCUAAAAAACAUUUUUGAUCACAAGAACAGUUUGUUGUGGCAUUUAAGAUUUGGCCAUCUGAAUCUUAGGUCACUCAAUGAACUGAUUACUCAAGAUAUGGUAACUAGUAUACACAGUCUUGAGAUGCCUGGAAAACUCUGUGAAGGUUGCUUAGUAGGGAAGCAAUCCAAAAGUCUUUUGUUUCGACUAUGCUAAUGAGGUCCUCUUAUAUACUAGAAAUAGUACAUUAAGGUGUAUGUGGUCCAUCGAGGAUCAUACCGUUGCUGGAAACAGGUAUUUUGUCUUAUUUUUCGAUGAGUUUAUUCAAAAGCUUUGGAUCUAUGUGAUCAAGCGAAAGGAUGAAGUAUUUGAAAUCUUUAAGAGAUUCAAGAUUCUUGUCGAAAACCAGAGUAUAAAGAAGAUUAAGGUUCUGGGAACAAAUAGAGAUGGCGAAUAAACAUCAAAUAUAUUUGAUGAGUUCUGUGCAAAACAUGGUAUUGAUCACGAGAUAAAUGCUCCUUACGCGCCUCUACAUAAUGGAAUAAUUAAAAGAAGAAACUAAACCAUGUUGGAUCUGGCGAGAUGCAUGGUGAUACAGAAGAAUUUUCCUAAGUCCUUAUGGGGUGAAGCUGUCACAACAACUAUUUAUAUUUUGAACAUGUGUCCUACCAAGAAGCUGAAAAACAAGGUUCCAAACGAAGUUUAGAGCGAAAAACGACCAUCAAUGAGUCAUUUGAAGGUGUUUGGCUCUAUUUGGAACAUAAAUGUUUCCGAUGCAAGGAUAAAGAAGGUUGAUGAUAAAAGUUAACCCAUGAUUUUGGUAGGAUAUUGUCGUACCUCAAAAAAUGAGACCCUUCGCAAAGGGCAAUGCAUGCACGCAGAAAAAAUGUUCGAACAUAGUCGCCACCAACCUUUAUUUAUUCCAAUGAAAGAAUAGGAAAAUAUCGUUAAAACCUUUGAAAAGAACAUGGUCGUCGGAACCAUAUUUGGGUUCGGGAGUCGAUUACACAAGGGGAAGGUAUUAACACCCCUUACGUUCGUUGUACUCAACGGGAACAUUUUAGUUUAACUUGUGAUUGGAUGUUAGUUAAUGUUAUUUGUUUUCUUCGAAUUAUUAAAUGUGUAAAGAGAAAAAGAAAACGGGUCGCAAAAACUUUUUUAUUAUUGUGCCUGACAAGAUUGCGGGUCUUGCUCCUACGUAUCUUCGGGUGCGAUGGAGAACUCAAGGAAUAUGUAGUUUUGGAUAAAAAAAAUUGUUUAUUGGUCUAUUUUAGCGAAAGCUACUUUGUAUUAAUCGACAAAAAACAUUGUUUUACCCAAAAUAGGUGAGGAACGGGCGUUAGCAUUAGAUUGAAUGGAUUUAUACAUAUCAAGAUUCACAGGAAAACAUCAACUUGACAUAAUUCAAUGAUUGUUGAUGAAUCAUUGCUUUGCAUCAUCUUAAGAUAAAAUGUCUUUCAUUUUGAAAAAUGUUUUUAAGAUUAAUCGCACGACGGCGAGAAAAGAGUUUGAUUGGUUGGAUGUAUUUUAUAGGUGAACGACAAAUGCUCUAUGAGAACGAGACAUAAGCCUCGGGAUCAAUCACUUGGGGUUCCACCGGAAUUCUAUAUUCCAACGGUCCUUUUUCGUUCAAGGUUAAUUAAGAAAAUUGUUUGAUGGAUAACAAAAGCUCGAUAAGAACAACACGUGUGUCUUAGAACCAAUUGUUCAAAGAGUAAAGCCAUAAUGCUAGAUUCCAACGUCUCUUUUUUGUCCAAGUUAAUUAUGUGUUUUGAGAGUGAAAGAAAAUAAUGAAUGGUUAACCUAAAACAAGUGGCUCAGGACCAAACAUUCGAGGGUUCUACUAGAAUUCUAGAUUCCAACAGUCCUCUUCUUUCGUGUUUAUUUAGAAAAAAGUUGUAACAUUAUGUUUGAUUUGAUUUUGAGAGUGGUUUGUAGUUAGUUGAAAAUGGUUUUGAAAAUAGUUUGAAUUUAGUUGAAAACUAUCUCGAUAUUGAACAAGAGCUUAUUGUAAGAAGGCCCAAGAGUAAGCCACGAGACCGAAAACCAACCGAAAUCAAAAGAAAUUGAAUUUAGCUCUAAGCUAACUCAUGGUUGAUUCAUAUAAGAAUCACUCUUAUAAGAAUCCGAGCAACUGAAUAUGUGCAUCCAAGCGGUUUUCGAAAGUUAAGUUUGAUUUAACUCCGAAAUUGCAAUGCAAUAAAAGGUAACAACAACCAAAAUAUUUUACAUCACCACAUGAACAUGGAUAGAUAUAACCUAAUUAAAUCAACUAAGCACAUGAAAGAUCGAUCAAAAAAUUUGUCAAAUAAUUUACUAAAAAAAACAAAUAACUAUUCAAAGCCUAGUAAACUAAUCAAGUAAAAAAUAAUAAGCGAUUAAUUAAUUAAACUAAUCAAUUAACAAAAUAAUAAACUAAUUAACUUCUAAGUUAAUUUACAAAAUGAAAUUAAAUAAUAAAAAUAAGGAGAAAUGACAAUGGGUGUAUGGCAUGAGGUGCUAUCAAGUUAUUGGCUUUUGGGCCCCAAACCCAAACAAAAUAAAAGCUAAACCAAAACUUUAGAAGAAAUAAGAAAUUUUAAAAAAAAUAUGAAGAAAAAAAAAGAAGAACAAAAGUAGUAAGGGAUUACCCCUCAUUUUGCUAUGUCUCAACUUAUUUAUUUAUUUUUAGUUACGGCCAGUAGCAUGUUGACAUGUGGCCAUCCUUCAUCAAAACUAAUUAAAAAAAUAAAACAAGAGGAAAGGAGAUUAGUAGACGUGUUUCAAUAAAGAUCAGAGAAAAAAAAGACAAAUUCCUCUUCUCUCUCGUGUAAUUUCACCUUUCUCUCAUCUUUCCAACAAAAUAAAAACAUAUAAACAAUAUGAGGAGUGACAUUAGUGGUAGGUCAAGUUUUACAAGAAAACUUCACAUGAUUGUAGUUAUCGUUAGCUGAAAAGAAGAGAAAAUAUCCUUAUGUAUAUAUUUUUUACACUUUGUUUCUUCCUCACCCUUUAAGAUCUAAAAAAAUUAAGAGAGCGAGGGAUGAAUAUAGUUUUUUAGUGUGUGUAAAAAGGUGGUGUUAUAGUUUGUGUGUUGGUUAGAAGCAUGAGUAUGAAUUAUUAAAUGUAAAGUGUUGUUGUUUUCUUUGCAUGAAAAAGGGAUGAGUAUGUUGGUAGUGGUUUCAUGUGAUAGAAAAGUUAGGAAGUGACGAGAAUGAAUGUGAUGGAUCUUUGGUAGUUAUGAGAGUGAAAUAUAAGAUUUGUAUAGUUGAGUGGUUUUCUAAGGAAAAUAUUAUUAAGAUUGGAGUUUGAUUGUUAUAUGAGGUUGAAGUUAACAUUUAAUGGUAGUGGUUUGGACUUUUCAUGAAAGAAAGAGAAGUGGUUUCAAGGAUGGACAUUUGAAUGGAGGUUGUGAGAAGAAGAUGGGUGAGUUGGAAUAUGAAUGAAGAAGUGAAGUGUUUUGUUAGUGAAGAAGGUGAAAAAGAUGAGUGGUUUAUGGUGUUUAAAGGGUAUAAGGGAGAAGAGGAUGAACACGAUAGUAUUGUAGUUAAAAAUAUUGAGAAGGUAAUGAUGUAGUGCUUAUGGGGGAAAUGAUGUGUUAUGUGAAGAAAAGAAAAAAAUUCAGUAGUGAAAAGAGGAAUAAGAUGAAUAGGGUGAAUGAGUGAUAAUAUGGAUUGAUAUGAGGUAGGCUAUGAAUGAAUGUGUAGUGUAUCAAUGUUCACGUGAAGGUCAAAACAAAGACACCUCCUUUCCUUUUUUUAUUCUUCAUUUUUUUUUGCAAUAUGAGUCUUAAGUGGAUGAUUCAAAACGCCUGGCUUGGUUCCGAGUCUCCGUCAUUUGGCCGUUCACACUAAAAUAUGCAUGCUAGUAGGGUUUUUGAAAUUAAUAAAAGGUGUAAAACAACCUUAGAUAUUUUUCGAAGAUAUUUUUGGAUCAAGAUAAGAUCAAACAGUACAAAUCAAUUUUUUCAAUAAAAACAAAUAAAACUAAAAUUGAUUAAUAAUCUAUCUCUAUUUAUUUUUUAUGAUUGUUUUGAUAAAAAACCAAAAUAAAAUAAUAAAAAAUAGAGCGCAAAAAUGCUCGAAAAAAAAAUAAACCGAAUGCACCAAAUUGAUCAGCAUAAAAUAAACCUCUCAGAAACAUACAAGUUUCGAUCAAAUUUUGAAAUAAAAACUAACUGGUUAAAAGGCUCAGAUUGUUCUAAUUUCGACUGAAAAAAUAAAAAUGAGCAUACAGGGUUAAACUACCUGAACCAUAGAUCAAGAAAAUUGACAUUUGUAAGCUCGAUUUUUGAAUUUUUCACAUGUUAAUUUCACGUGCAUUUGAGAAUCAGUUCGACCGAUCCGUAUAUAGAUCCAAAAUUUUAUUUUGGAUAAUAUUUUAGGCACUGUGCAGGAUGAGAUGCAUGUUAUGUUAGGUAGAUGAUGUGAAUAUCUUGAUGCAUGCAUCUAUUUAUUGAAUGAGGGGGGAAAUUGGGGUAUGACAGUUGCCCCUAUUUAGGUAUCUUCAACCAGAGAAUAUGAAGAAUGUUAAUCUUCAUAUGAUCGUGGUGGGAGAUAGUUAAAUACUAAAGAGACCCGAACUUUGUCCCUGGAUGUUGAUGAAAUGAAAUGUUAUGAAUGCAUGAAGGACUCUUUUUGGUUUUAAUUUGCUGGGAUAUGGUAUGAAAUGAACCCGAGCAUGGUUUUUAUGAUGGAUGAUAAUUAGAGUGGACAUGUGGGGAAUUAUGGAAAAAUGUGUAACGGUGAUCCAUAAGAAACGAUAAAGACAACGAGGGGCAAGGCUCACUAGGGAUAACAAAUUGUAAGGGAAAAGAAAUGAUAGAAUGCCAGACGGUGCUGGGCUUUUAGAAUGAAAUGCAAGACGAGACUAGACUUGACCAGAAGGAAUCAUUAAAAUAUAUACCGGCUUCAAAUAGAGUUUGCUAGACAAAAUUGGACUUUGAGGUAAGGGGGUAUAAGAUCAACCAAAGAGGGCGGGGUCAAUGCAAAAUGAGCUCGAAUUGCACUUCGACUAUGCAUGAUUUGAAGUUACUUUUAUGCAUGAUAUAUGAAUGAUCAUGGUAUGAAAAUGAAGACAUUCAUGAAAUGAGACUUGGCGAGAUGCCUUUAUUGGUGAAUGGAAAUGCAAGGUGAAGUCAUUAGGGAGAUAAGUGAUCAAUUACUAUGACUGAUUGCAUGUUCUUCAUGAAUAAUAUUCUAAAGAUGUUCCACUUGGGAAGACUACUACCGAGGUUUCUUUGGAAAGAUUCAAAAUGAAAUCACUAGGGAGUCUACUACCGAGACUCACUAGAGAUACCUAGUGCCAAGGUUUUAUUGAGAAAAUACCUACUGCUGAGGUAUAAUGGAAUAUCUUCUGCCGAGAUCAGCCAGGAAAUCUACUGUCGAGAUUCACUUUGAGAGAGAUAUACCUACUAUCAAGGUCUACUAGGAAAUCAUAUACCGAGAUCAAUCAGGGAAUCUACUAUCGAGAUUCUGUGGGGAACACCUUCUGCCGAGGCCUAUUGGGAAAUCUUUUGUCAAUAUUACAUGAAACAGAGAAAUUAUGAUACGAUUCAAAAUAUUUUGCAGACACUCCAUUCAACUUAAAAUCACUUUUAAUAGGAAACUCUAUGGUGUUUUACAUGGUGGGCAUCAAAUUUGAGAGGCUUUGUGCUAAGAAUUAGAUUGUUAUUUAACCAGACUGGUCCUAAUUAUUCCUGCAUAUGAAAUUUUUGUGGUCUAACAAAUUAUUGUCCCUUUCCUAUGAUGAAAGUUAAAAAAAAGGUUUAUUACACUUUUAUCCUGAUUGUUAACUUUGGAAUUGAUUUUGAUCUUUUAACUUAAAAAAGGUUUAUAUUGACCUUUUAUCACUACAAAAUAUAUCAUAUUAAUCAUUUUUAUCUAAUUAGAGACAAAUUUAGCUACCAUUUCUAAAUUUUUUGGAUCAAUUUUCAUGUGGUCUAACAAAUUAUUGUCUCUUUCUUAUCAUGAAAGCUUAAAAAAAUUAUAAGUUGGAUAAAAAUAAUGACUUAUUAUUAUUAGAUAGUAUUUUAUGUGACAAAUUUAUUAAGUCUGAUCAAAGAACAAUACAACCAAUUUAGUCACCUAAGCGACAUUAAUUUUAUUAAUUUUUUAUAUGGGAUGUUCGAGUUUAUACACUAUAAAUUGAUCAAAUAUUAUUUUAUCUAUCUCAUAAAAAAGAGAAAAAGAAAUGGCUUCAAUUCUCAAGUUGUACGUUGUGUUUAUAUUCCUUUUUUUCUUUUUUGUUGCAUCAAAUGUUGAUGGUGAGCCAUUUUCUUCUUCAAAUUUCAUUUUAACUUUUUAUUUCUUAUUCGUUUGUGAAGAAAAUAUUUUAUCUCAUUUUAACAAUAUAAUUAUUUUUUUAUUAUAGGUAAGGCUUGUACAGAGGAUCUCCAAUGUACUACAUGCCCUGCACAUCAAUAUGACAAGUGUAUCAAUGGUUUCUGUACAUGUUAUACCUAUAAAAAAAUCCCUCUUAACUGAAUGAAUAAGUAUUAGGUGAACAUGGUUUAUCUAUUUCAAAUACUUAAAUAAAAUCUAUGUAAUGUUAUAUUUCAAGACAAUAAAUAAUAAAUAUUAAAAUCUAUGUAAUGUUAUAUUUCAAGACAAUAAAUAAUAAAUAUUAUAAACAUGGUUAUCUAUUUAAUAUUUCAAGAUCUUAAAUGGAUGAAUAAGUAUCAGGUGAAUACAAAUAAUAUUGAAGAAUAUAAAUAUUUUGAUGUGAAUUUUUCUUUCUCAUCUUGAUUUGAAAAUUGUGAUAGGUCUCUUAUCUUUUCGGUUGUGUAUUUCUUCAAUCUAUUUGGGUGUUGUAGGAUUUUGCGGCUCAAGUCUUUAUAUAUAAUAUUCUAUUUGUUUUUAAGAAAAUAAUAAAAUAAUUAUUUUAAUAAAUUCAGUUAAAAUUAUUUAAAGUGUUGAAAAUGUCCAUAGACAACAUAAAUAUCAUCAAGUAAUGAAUGUAUCUUGCAAACUCAAUUUUAUUUUAAAUAGAUGUAUAUUUAUGCAAUAUAAAAUAUAUUGAGACCACCAAAACUCUACUUGUUGAAAAGAAUUUAUUGUUAAAUAAAAUUUUACAUGAUACAAAAGAAUAACAAAUUUAUAAUAUUCAAUUGUUAAACUACUAAGCUAUGAAGGUAUUAUUGCAAUUCAAAAAUAAAUAAAUAAGUAAUUGAGAGAGUAUUACAAAUAAAGUGGUCCUAACACUCAUUUUCAUUCAUUUAUAAAGGAAAAAUUUAACAAAUGCCUGAAAUACUCGUUAAGACUUUAAAUAUAUAUGUUUUAUUUAAAAAUAGUUAUAUUCAAUAUAUUAAAAUUUAAAACAAUUUAUUCUUUUAAAAAAAUAAACUGAGAUUAAUUGUUAUGCACUGACGGUGUAAAAAAUUUUAUACUGUCAAUAUAUCACAAUCAUCCAUUUGUGUUAUUUUACAUGUGAUUAUAAUAAAAGUCAAAUUUUUUUAACAAAUCAAUUGUUAUAAUUAACUGAUGGUGUAAAUUACACUGUUGCUGUAUUUCAAUUAAAUCCUAAUAAAAUAUUUUUUUUUUAAGAUUUGUAUUCAACAUAAUAUUUUAUUUACUUAAAUUUUUUAAGAGUGUUCUGGAUCACUAUAACCCUAAUAUAAAACCAUACUAUAAAUUUGCACAACCGUGCAUUGUUGUAGUUAACACACUCUAUGAAUUCGAUCAUAAUAACAAUGGAUAGCUGUAACAAAAAAUUGGAAAAUAGUAAAAUAAAAGAAACUACCAAUUAUAUUGUUGGAACUUAAAUUAAAUUGCACUGACUAAUUUUUUUGUUUUUGAAGAGUGCAGGAAUGUAUGUGGAUAAUUCUUACAGAAUUCAAUUACAUGUUCUAAAUAACGGUUUUUGUUUUUGUUUAAAGAAUAAAGUGAGAGGGGCGAUAAGAGGAAACACUUACAAAGAAGUCACACACUUAAAAAAAAUUAGAUAAAAGCUAAAUUUAUAGUUACUAAAACGGUCAAUAAUAUGACAUUAUAUAAAUAUAAACAUAUAUAAAAUAAGAAAAAAUUGUGCUCAAAUAUUCCAUUUCCGGACAAAGAAUGAGAGGGUAAGAAAAUAACAUAUAAGAUGAAGAAUAUUUAUAUAAAAAAUAUAUAUUUUAUAAUUCUUGUAAUUCUUUAAUGUUGGAUAUAAUCCAAGUUGUGGUUCAAACUCAUGUUAGUUAGGAUUAGGGUUUGUUAGUUUAGUUACUUAGUAAUUGUAUAUAAAUACAUGAUGUAAUUCAGUUUUAAUCAAUUCUAAUAAUACAUUCACUUCUCUCUUUUCUCAUUCCUUCGACAUCAAAGUGCAUUAACAUUGACAAAUUUGUAUCUAGAGCUCCGGUUAGUUUUUUGAUCGUGUUUUCAAGAAUCACACGUCGGUGAUUGUGUUUCCGGAAUCGUGGAUUGUUAAUCUCAUUUGAUGCAAAGAUGAAUGGUAAUAAUGGUAUUUCGAAUUCUCAUCCAUUUUCUUGACGGCAAGAAUUGGAUCCAAUUGAGAAAAUAGAUGCAAUCUCUGUUUGACUUUCAUGAAACUCUAGAUGUGGUUACUAAUAACGUCCCAGAGCUUGCUGAUAAUGCAACUGAUGCUCAGAGAGUCGCAAACAAGGAGGCCAAGAAAAAAGACUGCAAGGUUGCAUUUUAUACUCAAUCGAUGGUAGACGCAACAAACUUUGAUAGGAUUCUCAUGAUGAAACGACGAAGGAGGCAUGGGAUAUUCUUGUCAAGUAUUACGAAGGAGGUGAGAAGAUUAAAGUCAUCAAAUUGCAGACGUUACGAAAGUAGUAUGAAUUACUGCAAAUGGGAGAAGAAGAAAAGAUUGCAAGCUAUGUAUGAAGGUGCGGAAGCUUGUUCAUCUCAUGAAAAGUUGUGGUGAAACCCUAACUAAUAAGAUAAUAGUUGAGAAGGUAAUGUGUAAAUUGACCUAUCACUUUGAUCAUGUUAUCAUUGCUAUUCAAGAAUCCAACAAUCUUAAAACAUUGAAAUUGGAAGUAUUGGUUGGCUCAUUAGAGGCAUAUGAGAUGAAGAUUGUCGAAAGGAAAAGUGUCAAAGAUUCUAUACAAGCUCUACAGGCCCAAACAUGGAAGAAACAUGGUGGUUCCAAUAAGUUCAAGGGCAAAGGAGACAAGACUCGGAGCAGGAAGUCAUGGUCGAACCCUCAAAAGCACAAGGUUGAUGAUUGGGUUUAUGAAUCCUCGAAAAGAGGAGAAGGAAAAUCCUAUCAGAAAGACAAAGAAGAGAAAAAAGGAGUGAAGUGUUAUAACUAUGAAAAAUGGGGUCACUUGGCAAAGAGUUGUUGGUACAAGAAAGGCAAAAAUGAAUGAAGAAACCUUGCACGCCAAGAUUCAGAUGAUUCUGAAGACAUGGUGGUUAUGGUUGCAGUUGCAUAUGAGCAUGUUGACACCAAGAUUUUGAUAAGUAAUUCUGAAGACAUGGUGGUUAUGGUUGCAGUUGCAUAUGAGCAUGUUGACACCAAGAUUUUGAUAAGUCGGAGAAGAGAAAAAUCAAACUUGCUGAUAAUAGUUCGUUACAAGCAGAAGGUAUUGGAAAAAUAGCUAUUCAAAUGAGCAAUAGAGGAAAAGUUAUGAUCAAAGAUGUACUUUAUGUACCUGGAAUGAAGUGCAAUAUGUUAAGUGUUGGAUAACUGGUUGAAAAAGGUUUCUUAAUGAUUAUGAAAUAUGGAGCCAUGGAACUAUUCGACACUCAAAAUGAUAUGUUCUUAAAAUAUCCUAUUUCUAAUAAUAGGACAUUUAAGACCAUGAUCAAUUCGACUGAGGUACAAUGUCUAAAAAACGUUGUUGAUCACAAGAACAAUUGGUUGUGGCAUUUAAUAUUUGACCAUCUGAAUUUUAGGUCACUCAAUGAACUGAUUACUCAAGAUAUGGUAACUAGUAUACACACUCUUGAGAUGCCUGGAAAACUCUAUGAAGGUCGCUUAGUAGGGAAGCAAUCCAUAAAGUCUUUUGUUUCGACUAUCCUAAUGAGGUCCUCUUAUAUACUAUAAAUAGUACAUUAAGGUGUAUGUGGUCCAUCGAGAAUCAUACCGUUGCUGAAAACAGGUAUUUUGUCUCAUUUUUCGAUGAGUUUAUUCAAAAGCUUUGGAUCUGUGUGAUCAAGCGAAAGGAUGAAGUAUUUGAAAUCUUUAAGAGAUUCAAGAUUCUUGUCGAAAACCAGAGUGAAAAGAAGAUUAAGGUUCUAGGAACAAAUAGAGCUGGCGAAUAAACAUCUAAUAUAUUUGAUGAGUUCUAUGCAAAACAUGGUAUUGAUCACGAGGUAAAUGCUCCUUACACGCCUAUACAUAAUGGAAUAAUUAAAAUAAGAAACUAAACCAUAUUGAAUCUGGUGAGAUGCAUGGUGAAGUAGAAGAAUUUUCCUAAGUCCUUAUGUGGUGAAGUUGUCACAACAACUAUUUAUAUUUUGAACAGGUGUCCUACCAAGAAGCUGAAAAACAAGGUUGCAGAAGAAGUUUAGAGGGAAAAACGACCAUCAGUGAGUCAUUUGAAGGUGUUUGGCUCUAUUUGUUACAAACAUGUUCCCGAUGCAAGGAGAAAGAAGAUUGAUGAUAAAAGUUAACCCAUGAUUUUGGUGGGAUAUUGUUGUACCUCAAAAAAUGAGACCCUUCGCAAAGGGCAACGCACGCUCGUAGCAAAAAUGUUCGAACAUAGUCUCCACCAAACUUUAUUUAUUCCAAUGAAAUAAUAGGAAAAUAUCGUUAAAACUAUUGAAAAGAACAUGGUCGUCGGAACCAUAUUUAGGUUCGGGAGUCGAUUACACAAGGGGAAUGUAUUAACACCCCUUACGUUCGUUGUACUCAAUAGGAACAUUUUAGUUUAACUUGUGAUUGGAUGUUAGCUAAUGUUAUUUGUUUUCUUUGAAUUAUUAAAAGUGUAAAGAGAAAAAUAAGACGGGUCGCAAAAAGUUUUUUAUUCUUGUGCCUAACAAGAUUGCGGGUCUUGCUCCUACGUAUCUUCGGAUGCGAUGGAGAACUCAAGGAAUAUGUAGUUUUGGGUAAAAAAAUGUUUGUUGGUCUAUUUUAGCGAAAGCUACUUUGUAUUAAUCGACAAAAAACAUUGUUUUACCCAAAAUAGCUGAGGAACGGGCGUUAGCAUUAGAUUGAAUGGAUUUAUACAUAUCAACAUUCAUAGGAAAACAUCAACUUAACAUAAUUCAAUNGAAUGCCUUAUAUGAAUCAACGCAUGAGUUAGGCUUAGGAGCUAAUUCAAUUGCUUUUUAUUUCGAAGUUGGUUUCGCGUCUCGUGGUUUACUCUUGGCCUCUUACAAUGAGCUCUUUGUUCAAUAUGAUUGAUAGUUUCAACUAAAUUCCAAACUAUAUUUCAAACGCAUUUUCAACUAACUGCAAACUACUCUCAAAACCAAAUCAAACACAAUGUUACAACUUAUUCUAAAACAAACUAACGAAAGAAUAGGACUGUUGAAUCUAGGCAUUCCAGUAGCACCCUCGAAUGAUUGGUCCUAGCCACAUUGUUUUUAAGUUAACGAUCAUUAUUUUCUUUUCACUCUUAACAAACUUAAUUAACUUGAACAAAAAAGAGACGUUGCAUCUAAGCAUUCUGACUUACUCUUUGAACAAUUGUGUUCUAAGACACAUGUGUUUGUUCUUACGAGCGUUUUUAUCAUCAAACAAUUUUCUUAAUAACCUUGAAUGAAAAAGGACCGUUGAAUAUAAGAAUUCCGGUGGAACCAAAUGAUUAAUCCCGAGGCUUAUGUCUCGUUCUCAUAGAGCAUUCGUCGAUCUUCAACAUUAAAUACAUCCAACCAAUAAACUUCUUUCUCGCCGCCGUGCAAUUAAUUAUAAAAACAUUUUCCAAAAUGAAAAAUUUUGUCUUAAGAUGAUGCAAAGCAAUGAUUCAUCAAACAAUCAUUGACAUUAUGUUAGUUGAUUUUCCUAUGAAUGUUGAUACUGUUAAAUCCAUUCAAUCUAAUGCUAACGCCCGGUUCCUAGCUAUUUGGGCUAAAACAAUGUUUUUUGUCGAUUAAGACAAAGUAGCUUCGCUAAAAUAGACCAACAAACAUUUUUUCCCAAAACUACAUAGUUCCUUGAGUUCUCCACAUCGCAAUCCGAAGGAUCGUAGGAGCAAGAUACGCAAUCUGUUAGGCCACAAGAAUAAAAAAACUUUUGCCGACCCUCUUAUUUUCUCUUUACACUUUUAAUAAUUCAAAGAAAACAAAUAAAUUAGCUAACAUCCAAUCACAAGUUAACUAAAAAAUGUUUCCUAUUGAGUACACGAACGUAAGGGUGUUUAUACAUUCCCCCUUGGUGAUAUCGACUCCCGAACCUAAAUAUGGUUCCGACGUGACCAUGUUCUUUCCAAAUAGUUUUAACGAUAUUUUCCUAUAUUAUUCAUUGGACAUAAAUAAGUUUCGGUGGAGACUAUGUUUCGAACAUUUUUGCUACGAGCGUUGCGUUGCCCUUUUGCGAAGGGUCUCAUUUUUUGAGACAACAAUAUCCCACCAAAAUCUAUGGGUACUUUUAUCAUAAUCUUCUUCUCUGCUCGGGACAGUUAGAUAGAUAUAACUUAAUUAAAUCAACUAAGCACAUGAAAGAUCGAUAAAAAAAUUUGUCAAAUAAUUUACUAAAAAAAACAAAUAACUAUUCAAAGCCUAGUAAACUAAUCAAGUAAAAAAUAAUAAGCGAUUAAUUAAUUAAACUAAUCAAUUAAUAAAAUAAUAAACUAAUUAACUUCUAAGUUAAUUAACAAAAUGCAAUUAAAUAAUAAAAAUAAAGAGAAAUGACAAUGGGUGUAUGUCAUGAGGUGCUAUCAAGUUAUUGGCUUUUGGGCCCCGAACCCAAAGAAAAUAAAAACUAAACUAAAACUUUAGAAGAAAUAAGAAAUUAAAAAAAAAUAUGAAGAAAAAAAAAGAAGUACAAAAUUAGUAAGGGAUUGCCCCUCAUUUUGCUAUGUCUCAACUUAUUAUUGUUUUUUUUAGUUAUGGCCGGUAACAUGUUGACAUGUGGCCAUCCCUCAUCAAAAUCAAUUAAAAAAUAAAACAAGAGGAAAUGAGAUUAGUAGACGUGUUUCAAUAAAGAUCAGAGAAAAAAAAGACAAAAUCCUCUUCUCUCUCGUGUAAUUUCCCCUUUCUCCCAUCUUUCCAACAAAACAAAAACAUAUAAACAAUAUGAGGGGUGACAUUGGUGGUGGGUCGAGUUUUACAAGAAAACAUCACAUGUUUGUAGUUAUCGUUAGCUGAAAAGAAGAGAAAAUUAAGAGAACGAGGGAUGAAUGUAGUUUUUUAGUGUGUGUAAAAAGGUGGUGUUAUAGUUUGUGUGUUGGUUAGAAGUGUGAGUAUGAAUUAUUAAAUGUAAAGUGUUAUUGUUUUCUUUUCAUGAAAAAGGGAUGAGUAUGUUGGUAGUGGUUUCAUGUGAUAGAAAAGUUAUGAAGUGACAAGAAUGAAUGUGAUGGAUCUUUGGUAGUUAUGAGAGUGAAAUAUGAGAUUUGUGUGGUUGAGUGGUUUUCUAAGGAAAAUAUUAUGAAGUUUGGAGUUUGAUUGUUAUGUGAGGUUGAAGUUAACAUUUAAUGGUAGUGGUUUGGAGUUUUCAUGAAAGAAAGAGAAGUGGUUUCAAGGAUGGACAUUUGAAUGGAGAUUGUGAGAAGAAGAUGGUUGAGUUGGAAGAUGAAUGAAAAAUUGAGGUGUUUUAUUAGUGAAGAAGGUGAAAAAGAUGAGUGAUUUAUGAUGUUUGAAGGGUAUAAGGGAGAAGAGGAUGAAUAUGAUAGUAGUGUGGUAAAAAAAAUUGAGAAGGUAGAGAUGUAAUGCUUAUGGUGGAAAUGGUGUGUUAUGUGAAGAAAAGAAAAAAUCUAGUAGCGAAAAGAGGAAUAAGAUGAAUAGGGUGAAUGAGUGAUAAUAUGGAUUGAUAUGAGGUAUGCUAUGAAUGAAUGUGUAGUGUAUCAAUGUUCACGCAAAGGUCAAAACAAAGACACCUCCUUUCCUUUUUUUAUUCUUCUUUUUUUUUUGCAAUCUGAGUCUUAAGUGGAUGAUUCAAAACGGCUGGCUUGGUUACGAGUCUCCGUCAUUUGGCCAUUCACACUUGAAUAUGCAUGCUAGUAGGGUUUUUGAAAUUAAUAAAAGGUUUAAAACAACCUUGGAUAUUUUUCUAAGAUAUUUUUGGAUCAAGAUAAGAUCAAACAGUACAAAUCAAUUUUUUCAAUAAAAACAAAUAAAACUAAAAUUGAUUAAUAAUUUGUCUCUGUUUAUUUUUUUAUGAUUGUUUUGAUAAAAAAAAACAAAAUAAAAUAAUAAAAAAUAGAGCGCAAAAAUGCUCGAAAAUAAAUAAAUUGAAUGCACCAAAUUGAUCAGCACAAAAUAAACCUCUCAGAAACAUACAGGUUUCGAUCAAAUUUUGAAAUAAAAGCUAACUGGUUAAAAGGCUCAGAUUGUUCUAAUUUCGAAUGAAAAAGUAGCUGAAAAAAUAAAAAUGAGCAUACAGGGUUAAACUACCCGAACCGUAGAUCAAGAAAAUUGACGUCUGUAAGCUCGACUUUGGAAUUUUUCACACGUUAAUUUCACGUGCAUUUGAGAAUCAGUUCGACCGAUUCGUAUAUAGAUCCAAAAUUUUAUUUUGGAUAAUAUUUUAGGCAUUGCGCAGGAUGAGAUGCAUGUUAUGUUAGGUAGAUGAUGUGAAUGUCUUAAUGCAUGCAUCUAUUUAUUGAAUGAGGGGGGAAAUUGGGGUAUGACAGUUGCCCCUAUUUAGGUAUCUUCAACUAGAGAAUAUGAAGAAUGUUAAUCUUCAUAUGAUCGUGGUGGGAGAUAGUUAAAUACUAAAGAGACCCGAACUUUGUCCCUGGAUGUUGAUGAAAUGAAAUGUUAUGAAUGCAUGAAGGACUCUUUUUUGGUUUUAAUUUGCUGGGGAUAUGGUAUGAAAUGAACCCGAGCAUGGUUUUUAUGAUGGAUGAUAAUUAGAGUGGACAUGUGGGGAAUUAUGGAAAAAUGUGUAACGGUGAUCCAUAAGAAACGAUAAAGACAACGAGGGGCAAGGCUCACUAGGGAUAACAAAUUGUAAGGGAAAAGAAAUGAUAGAAUGCCAGACGGUGUUGGACUUUUAGAAUGAAAUGCAAGACGAGACUAGACUUGACCAGAAGGAAUCAUUAAAAUAUAUACCGACUUCAAACAGAGUUUGCUAGACAAAAUUGGACUUUGAGGUAAGGGGGUAUAAGAUCAACCAAAGAGGGCGGGGUCAAUGCAAAAUGAGCUCGAAUUACACUUCGACUAUGCAUGAUUUGAAUUUACUUUUAUGCAUGAUAUAUGAAUGAUCAUGGUAUGAAAAUGAAAACAUUCAUGAAAUUAGACUUGGCUAGAUGCCUUUAUUGGUGAAUGGAAAUGCAAGGUGAAGUCAUUAGGGAGAUAAGUGAUCAAUUACUAUGACUGAUUGCAUGUUCUUCAAGAAUAAUAUUCUAAAGAAGUUCCACUUGGGAAGACUACUACCGAGGUUUCUUUGGAAAGAUUCAAAAUGAAAUUACUAGGGAGUCUACUACCGAGACUCACUAGAGAUACCUAAUGCCAAGGUUUUAUUGAGAAAAUACCUACUGCUGAGGUAUAAUACAAUAUCUUCUGCCAAGAUCAACCAGGAAAUCUACUGCCGAGAUUCACUUUAAGAGAGAUAUACCUACUAUCAAGGUCUAUUGGGAAAUCAUAUACCGAGAUCAAUCAGGGUAUCUACUAUCGAGAUUCUGUGGGGAACACCUUCUGCCGAUGUCUAUUGGGAAAUCUUUUGCCAAUAUUACAUGAAACAUAGAAAAUUAUGAUACGAUUCAAAAUAUUUUGCAAACACUCCAUUCAACUUAAAAUCACUUUUAAUAGGAAACUCUACAGUGGUUUACAUGGUGGGCAUCAAAUUCGAGAGCCUUUAUGCUAAAAAUUAUAUUGUUAUUUUACCGGACUGAUCCUAAUUAUUCCUGCAUAUGAAAUUUUUGUGAUCUAACAAAUUAUUGUCCCUUUCCUAUCAUGAAAGUUUAAAAAAGGUUUAUUACACUUUUAUCAAAAUUUUUGUGAUCUAACAAAUUAUUGUCCCUUUCCUAUCAUGAAAGUUUAAAAAAGGUUUAUUACACUUUUAUCCUGAAUUUUAAUUUUGGAGUUGCUUUUGAUCUUUUAACUUUAAAAAAAAAGAUUUAUAUUGACCCCUUAUCACUUCAAAAAUAUAUCUUAUUAAUAUAUUUUUAUCUAAUUAGAGACAAGUUUAGCUACCAUUUCUAAAAAAUUUGGAUCAAUUUUGAUGUGGUCUAAAAAAUUAUUGUCUCUUUCCUAUCAUGAAAGCUUAAAAAAAAAUUAUAAGUUGGUUAAAAAUAAUGAAUUAUUAUUAUUAAAUAAUAUUUUAUGUGAUAAAUUUAUUAAGUCUGACAAUACAAUCAAUUUAAUCACCUAAGCGACAUUAAUUUUAUUAAUUUUUUAUAUGGGGUGUUCGAGUUUAUACACUAUAAAUUGAUCAAAUAUUAUUUUAUCUAUCUCAUAAAAAAGAGAAAAAGAAAAUGGCUUCGAUUCUCAAGUUGUACGUUGUGUUUAUAUUCCUUUUUUUCUUUGUUGCAUCAAAUGUUGAUGGUGAGCCAUUUUCUUCUUCAAAUUUCAUUUUAAUUUUUUAUUUCUUUUUCGUUUAUAAAGAAAAUAUUUUAUCUCAUUUUAACAAUAUAAAUUAUUUUUUUAUUAUAGGUCGUCAGGCUUGUGUACACGAUCGCGAAUGUAAAUGCCCUGGACAUCCAGUAAGCAGGUGUGUCAAAGGUUUCUGUAGAUGUUAUACCUUUCCUGCUAUCCCCAGUUUUAAAGGGAUGAAUAAGUAUUAGGUGAACAUGGUUAUCUAUUUCAAAUACUUAAAUAAAAUCUAUGUAAUGUUAUAUUUCAAGACAAUAAAUAAUAAAUAUUAUAAACAUGGUUAUCUAUUUAAUAUUUCAAGAUCUUAAAUGGAUGAAUAAGUAUCAGGUGAAUACAAAUAAUAUUGAAGAAUAUAAAUAUUUUGAUGUGAAUUUUGUUUUCUCAUCUUGAUUUGAAAAUUGUGAUAGGUCUCUUAUCUUUCGGUUGUGUAUUUCUUGAAUCUAUUUGGGUGUUGUAGUAUUUUGCGGCUCAAGUCUUUAUAUAUAAUAUUCUACUUCUUUUUAAGAAAAUAAUAAAAUAAUUAUUUUAAUAAAUUCAGUUA
rnacentral:lncRNA from 1 species